rnacentral:rRNA from 1 species
AUUGAACGCUGGCGGCAGGCCUAACACAUGCAAGUCGAGCGGAUGACGGGAGCUUGCUCCUUGAUUCAGCGGCGGACGGGUGAGUAAUGCCUAGGAAUCUGCCUGGUAGUGGGGGACAACGUUUCGAAAGGAACGCUAAUACCGCAUACGUCCUACGGCAGAAAGCAGGGGACCUUCGGGCCUUGCGCUAUCAGAUGAGCCUGGGUCGGAUUAGCUAGUAGGUGAGGUAAUGGCUCACCUAGGCGACGAUCCGGAACUGGUCUGAGAGGAUGAUCAUUCACACGGGAGCGGAGACACGGUCCAGAAUCCUACGGGAGGCAGCAGUGAGGGAUAUUGGACAAUUGGCGCAAGCCUGAUCCAGCCAUGCCGCGGGUGGGAAGAAGGCCGUCGGGUUGUAGAGCACUUUCAGUAGGGAGGAAGGGUGUUGUGUUAAUAGCACAGCAUUGUGACGUUGCCUACAGAAGAAGCACCGGCUAACUCUGUGCCAGCCGCCGCCGUAAUAC